GUUUUUUUCUUUUAAUUGCACCAUGCAUGGAAGGGUGUUUUUGGGUUUCACCGAAUGAAAGGGUACUUGGGCUUAUGUUUGCAAUCAUGACAGUGUUACAAGUCCCUCCUAAUGAAUCCUUGAGAAGCUGAGUGAGUUUUGAAUUUCGGUAUGGAUUGUGCUUCUUGCCCUCUACAAGAGCAUUGAUGCAGCUGCUUAGUGCAAGAAGAGACCGGUAAAUAUUGGUACCCUCAAGAGACCUAAGUGUUCUUUGAUCUGUGGCAAAAACUCUCUCUGACCCUGCAAGAUCAAUCAACGAGAGUUUGCCCACCUUGUGAAUAAUAUUCACUGCAGUAUCUCUAACUCGGUAUUCAACCACGACCGAAGCAAUGCCAUCACUUCAUCGGUGGAGUAAGCUCUGUAUUGCGUAAGACUUGCUGCCUUCAUUUCUUCCCUUUUUAUUAAGUUGAAUCUCCACAAACUUACCAAACUGACUUGAAUUAUUUUUCCUCACAGUCUUUGCAUUGCCAUUAUGUUUUGCAUUUGCACACUUGGAGCAUGUUGUAUGCAGCGUAGAUUCUCCAAGACUUGCAUUUUUAUAGUGCUAAGAUACGAUUUACUGUUUAAAUUUUCUAUGUGCCCAUUCAGAAUCUUCAAUGAGAAGCCUGGUCCAAAAUAUUUGAUAUAAUCGUUCUCUGGAAUCUCAUUUGGAAGCUCUGUAGCUAGAAGAACUCCAGUUUCAACUGCACGGGUUUUGAAAUAUUGGACGGUCGGCAUGCUAGCAUUGAGUUGACAACAUGUGUUUCAAUAUGGGGAAUGGGAUGAUGCUAACCGAAUUCCAUGUGGUUUGAUGGAAAUCAUGUUGUGGUUGGAACUCCUUUGGAAUUGGGAUUUCUUGAAAUUCGACUACCUUGAAUUUCGGUAUGGAUUGUGCUUCUUGCCCUCUACAAGAGCAUUGAUGCAGCUGCUUAGUGCAAGAAGAGACCGGUAAAUAUUGGUACCCUCAAGAGACCUAAGUGUUCUUUGAUCUGUGGCAAAAACUCUCUCUGACCCUGCAAGAUCAAUCAACGAGAGUUUGCCCACCUUAUGAAUAAUAUUCACUGCAGUAUCUCUAACUCGGUAUUCAACCACGACCGAAGCAAUGCCAUCACUUCAUCGGUGGAGUAAGCUCUGUAUUGCGUAAGACUUGCUGCCUUCAUUUCUUCCCUUUUUAUUAAGUUGAAUCUCCACAAACUUACCAAACUGACUUGAAUUAUUUUUCCUCACAGUCUUUGCAUUGCCAUUAUGUUUUGCAUUUGCACACUUGGAGCAUGUUGUAUGCAGCGUAGAUUCUCCAAGACUUGCAUUUUUAUAGUGCUAAGAUACGAUUUACUGUUUAAAUUUUCUAUGUGCCCAUUCAGAAUCUUCAAUGAGAAGCCUGGUCCAAAAUAUUUGAUAUAAUCGUUCUCUGGAAUCUCAUUUGGAAGCUCUGUAGCUAGAAGAACUCCAGUUUCAACUGCACGGGUUUUGAAAUAUUGGACGGCCGGCAUGCUAGCAUUGAGUUGACAACAUGUGUUUCAAUAUGGGGAAUGGGAUGAUGCUAACCGAAUUCCAUGUGGUUUGAUGGAAAUCAUGUUGUGGUUGGAACUCCUUUGGAAUUGGGAUUUCUUGAAAUUCGACUACCUUGCUAUUAAUUCAUGCCAUAAGCAACAGACGAAAUCAAAAUGAAAGCACCAUCAUCACUGUUGAAAUGAGUUUGUAAUCUAGACAUAUGAUGGACAAAGCAAAAUUUGUAAACCAUAAACUCGUGCAGAAUGUCUAUAUACUCUGUACAUCAUAAACUUGUACAUUAUAAUAGCACCAUAAAUUUCAGUCUUCAAACUAGUGCACUGCAGGUUUUGAUGUGGGCUUUAUUGUUGUUUUAACUUUGCAGGUGCAUUGCCUGCAACCCUGGAUAGGACCGGGUUUAAUGCCAAGAACUGUAUUGCUACAGGCUUGACGAGAAACGAGAGCAAAGGCUGGAACAGGUGGAGCUUGGCAGGAGGAAGAGGGCCGCUUCGAGGAAAAAAGCACCGGUCAUUCUACAUACUCUCCAAUAGUUCUCGGUCAAAUCCAGAAAAUUCCUUUGUAGGUUCAUUUGUAGAUUUUUCUGCCGAGGGUCUGUUUGAUCGUUUGUCUUCUAGUUGGCAGGUCAAAUAUAUGGCGGCAGCAGAGAUGGUAAUUGGAUUCCUGCGAGUGCAGAAGCAUUCGUUGAUCACAACGUCUCCAAUAUGAGUAGCCAGUUCCUGAGCAGAUUUAUUGAGCUGAAGAAGAGUGCAAAAUCUUGGCAUAUGAACUGAUAUAGAAUUGCUGUUAAUGGGUCGACUUAGCUGUAAAGCUUCUCCCAAUAUCUUGAUGUAUCUUUAGUUUCUCCAGUUUUGUUCCUUUUGCCAAAUAAGCUGGAUUGUAAAGCCCCUGCUAUAAUGGAGCCAAACCGUCAUAAUUACUGCAUCAUCAUAUUGAGUUUUUUUGUUAGAAGUACAAGUAAUUGACCAGUUUUCCGAUGAGGAACUUCCAUCAUGACUGUAAGCUAGUGUCAAAACCUUUGCAUUUAAUGUAAGGUCAUCUUUGCCAA